rnacentral:rRNA from 1 species
CAGUAGCCGCGGUAAUACGUAGGGGGCAAGCGUUAUCCGGAAUUACUGGGUGUAAAGGGAGCGUAGACGGUUAAACAAGUCUGAAGUGAAGUGCCGGGGCUCAACCCCGGAGCUGCUUUGGGAACUGUAGAACUGGAGUGUCGGAGGGGUAAGCGGAAUUCCCAGUGUAGCGGUGAAAUGCGUAGAUAUUGGGAGGAACACCGGCGGCGAAGGCGGCUUACUGGACGACAACUGACGUUGAGGCUCGAAGGCGUGGGUAGCAAACAGGAUUAGAUACCCCGGUAGUCCCUGUCUCUUAUAU